AAAACACUUCUAUAAAGCCUCAUCACAUUUGUGCCUAUUACGUUAACAAUCUCUCCUUUCUUUUAAAUUCCAUUUCUCUUGUCCAAUAUUUUUCCAAAUCUAACUAAGCACCCUAACAACCAAAUUUUCCCAAAAUUGUAAGACUGAAUCACAAUUCAUAUCACCCACAUAUCUAGUUUCCGAACAUUGAUUGCUACCAUUUUUCUGAAAUUGCAGCAAGUUCGAAAUAAAAAUAAUUCUAAGAAUGUAAUACGUACAUUUGUGGUUCUUUUCAGCUUCUAAACACUUCAACAAUGUUUCGUGAAGGUUGAAAAUGGUAUACUGGACGGAGAUUCAGGAUUUGGUUGACCGCAAGAUUGACGCCAAACUAAAAUUGCUCAGGGCCCAGCUAGCGUACACUCAGAGUGAGUUACUUAUCUCUGAGCUAGCUCGAGGUAUCUCAGGGAUCCUUCAUCAAAAUAUGCAAGACAUUGAUUUGCACUAACUGGUGGCGCAAGAAGACCAGCUUGUUGAAUAUGUCACCAAGAGAGCAGGACUACUACGGGUGAUGGCGGAGCGGGUUACGGCCCAUGCAUUCAGGGAUGGAGCCAGGAAUUUCAUCACGCAGGGACGACCAUGCAUGCGAGAAAAAAAUAUAAAUACACAUGCAUAAUCAUGUAAAUACAUUAAAACUCAAAAUAACGUAAAUACAUAUAUAAAUCAGUUUAACUGAUGGGAUCAAUCUUGAUGUA